ACGAACGCUGGCGGUGUGCUUAAUACAUGCAAGUCGAACGAUUCCUUCGGGAAUAGUGGCGGACGGCUGAGUAACACGUAGGUAACGUACCUUUUAUUGGGGGAUAACACCGGGAAACCGGUGCUAAUACCGCAUAAGUCACCGGUUGAAAUACGGGUGAUUAAAGAUUUAUCGAUAAGAGAUCGGCCUGCGUCUGAUUAGCUAGUUGGUAGGGUAAAGGCCUACCAAGGCAAUGAUCAGUAGUUGGUCUGAGAGGAUGACCAGCCAGAGUGGGACUGAGACACGGCCCACACUUCUACGGAAGGCAGCAGUAGGGAAUUUUGCGCAAUGGGCGAAAGCCUGACGCAGCAACACCGCGUGCGGGAUGAAGGCUCUUGGGUCGUAAACCGCUGUCAGCAGGGAAUAAAUUGACUGUACCUGCAGAGGAAGCACCGGCUAACUACGU
rnacentral:rRNA from 1 species